AUACAGUUCUUCAAGUUAUUAGAAGCAUGUAAAAACUAAUGCAUAGUCUAUCACAGAUGUUUUAAAGAUUAGUUGUUUCCCAAGGUAAGUGACAUUUAAAUACAAAACAAGAAUGCACAAGAAGUUCAGUUUCCAUUCACAUUUGUGAAAGAGGCAAACAAUAACAAACGACUCUGCAAUGAAAAAAAGUGAUUUGUUUACGUAAGCAUUAGAGAUAAUGCUAUACAUAUGAUAAAGUAAUCAAUUAAGGGCACUCAGACCAGUAAAAGUUGUUCUUCCUUCUAGAGCUUAAAAUGAAAAACAAAGAAGCCUCUCCAACCCUAUCCAUGACAUUCCUCUUUUCUAUCAGUGAACAUUUGAGCUGAAAUACAGAGAUGUUCACCUUUUCAAAUAGCUUUCGUGAAAUGACAUUUAUUAACAAGUUUGGCACAGAGAAACUUCAUUGUGAGAAGACAGACAAAUCUGAUUUCCUCAGUGUUGCACUAAUAACACUGAAUGUGAGUGAAUUCUCACUGCUUGUAAGUAGUGAGAAACAAAAUAUUCAUUACACCAUUCUGUUCAAUUCAGUAAUAUAGUUUGAAAUAUAAGAAAAUACCUGAUUAAGUUAUACUUCACACAGUAUGAAUCACAAGGCUUAUUCCUUCCCUUCUUCCCUCCCCCUUAUCUGUAAUACUUUGCAAAGAUUUGUAAUCAGAUGUCUUAGCUUCUUGUACUGUACAUAUCCACAUCUUCUGGGCUGGACUGACCAUGGUCCAUAAGUUUUGGGUCAGGUUUAAACUUUGUUGUCUUCACCGUUCCUGAUGAAGGCAGUGGAUCUUUAGUACUCCAAGACUCUAUAGGAGAAGAUUCUGUCCUGUUAGAUGAUCGUGAUUCAAUAGCAGAUUCAAACUGUACAUUAGAUAUUUCUCUAUUUUUCUUAUUUUCUUGUGUAACUGAUUUUGACUCUUGCUGCAGCUUGGAGGCAUCUUCCUUCUUUGUCCAUAGUGAUCGUACAGCCUCAUAGGUUUGAUGGCUUGCAGAAAUUACCUUUUUCCCUGUUAUCUUAGCAAUUACUACUGCCUGAGCUGGGUAACAAACUGAAAUUCCUAAAGUAGUAAGUCCCAAGGGAUAAGCAAUUUUCUUAAAUCUAGAAUCUUUUCUUGCCAGCACCACACCAGCUACGCCUGAUAUUGUAAUUAUGCCAACUCUGGGAAGAAAGUCUGGUGGUGGAUUCUUCAGGUAAACGUAAGCAUCUUUACCAAACUGAAUUGAAUCCACUAUUCCAUUUUUAGCAAAGAAAAAAGCAUCCUUACACCAUCCAAUAUAGCGGCCAGUUGUCUGUCUUAUCGAAGAGAAUUGCUUUUGCAAGCGACCAGGCUGCUCUUCAAUGUAUUUCGAUUUCAGAGGUGGCGAACAGUAAAUUGGAAGCUGCUUCGGCUUCACCAGCUGACUUUUUGAUUCCUUUUCUUCUGCAUACACUGCACACACAAACGGUAGGGAGGAAGCAGCAGCAGCCAGCCUUGCCACCUUGGCCGCCAUCUUAGCGACAGCCCCGCAGCCGCGUACGGCGAGCGGGAAGGGCCGAGCGCUCGGCCGCGGGCUCCUCCCGAGCGGGGCGGAGCUCCAUUGAGGCUGAGACGAUGGGAACCGGACCGAAACACUCCCCCGCUCUUUGGGUGGGCGCGGCUCUCUUUGUUGUCGCGUGUGGCUGAGGCCGGUCCUGCAGACCCUGCGUGGAGAGCGGCCUGCAGCUCUGCUCCGGUCCUGCUCACAGCCUGGGCUUGAAUUACUCUUCGUAAUUACAGUUAUUAGAGAACACGCACUAAAACAACGUGAGCACAAAGUUUAAGUGCAGAUAAUUCCGUUUAUUGAAGUCCAAAUUUACAACUGAAGUUUACAACUUUUUUUUUCUUUUUUUCUCCCCCCAAAACAAAAGCUUUGUUUGAAUUUAGGAAGAAUAAAUGUUCUUUUUAAUAAUGUACAGACUAUAUCUCUUAAAUAAGUUAAUAUCUUUGAAAAAAGAGCAAUAUGUUCCUUUUUUAAUGUUGCAGUGCAACUUACAACUUACACGUCUGUGCAAUGUACCAUGAGGUAUAUGCCCAGUGAGCAACACACAGUGAAGGUUUCCAUUCAUAAAUUUUCAUUGUAGACACACAAAAGUUAACAAGUUCAUCUGUGAUAGAAAAACGCAGCCAGUUACAGUAGUUCACACAGAAGUCAUCUGAGAAGAGGAAAAAAAGAAACCUAACGUUCACUGCCUAUAGAAACUAUUGGAUCAUCUCUCAACAUAGACAAGUAUAAAAUUAAAAAUACUGUUGUGAAACCAAAGAGUGCUGUAUUAUCCAGGGGUUGAAACCUAGCCUAACCUGUAUGCGUCCAGUUAGAGCAGUUAAUUUUCUCUCUCUGUUCAGCGAGCUGAAGGACUUUACUAUGGUAUCGGUAGAGCAUCUGCUCAUAAAAGCGCUAAAGCAAGAUGGUCAGUAGAGAAAGGUUGCAGAAUGUCAUAAACUGUGGUACAACUCAGACACCUUCCCUGGCAUGGAUAGGUGGUUUACCGUGACCUCGCAGCUCAUCUCACAGUUGUUUGGAAAAACAAGGCUGAAACAUGGAAGAUUCCGAGUAUUUGAAGCUUUGAUGCUUCAAACUUUUCAAGAUGGCUCUUACUAAAAAUACUUAUUUUUCAUAAUGACAUAAAACACAUAUUUACUUUAGAAAGAACCAACCACAACAUAACUUUGUGAUAAAUAACAGUUCUGCCGCUAAUACUUAUAUACAUACUGCUUGUAAACAAAAAAUGCCCACAGGUCAUGGAGUCUCCAUGAGUUUUAUACAAGGCGCUAUAGAUUUUUUUUCGUUAUUGAAAACAGUCCUAUUGAAAGUUUGGUUUAUAACCUCCUAUUGCUACAGAAACAGUAAGAAUGUUUAUAUUUACAAAGAAACAAAGACCAUGGAGACCCCAUAGCAUUAUUUGCUAAAGAUUGUAAGUUAGUGGGGUUUUCGAAGUACACGUUAUCAGCACGUUCAGCUUUAAUUAACAGUACAGGUUGAACACCAGCAGUACCAUACUCUAGUGCUUUGGUAUUUCAACCCCUGAAUAUACAAAGACAUUACUACAGCCUACUUCACAGUUUAAUGCAAGUAAAGUGCAAGCCAUAGUACAAGGGUGUCAUACAUUUUCAUACAUGUAAGCAUUAUCUAUA
rnacentral:lncRNA from 1 species